AUGUUCAGUGGGAGCUUUAUUUUGGCUUCAAAUGAGCUUGAGGCCGACCUUGGGCUAGCUCCUGACGUGAUCUUUGGCCUGAGGAUGCAUAAGAUUGGUGCAGAAAUUCUAUGGUGUUUCUGCAUUUUGGAAAAGGAUAGAGGAGUUUGGAACUGGUUCUACUAUCCAUUGUUAGAUAUUAAUGUUAAUAACUUCUUAGUCCUUCUCUUGUCUCAGGCCAACAAUCAGUCCGUUUGA